GAAAUGCGAUAAGUAAUGUGAAUUGCAGAAUUCAGUGAAUCAUCGAAUCUUUGAACGCCCAUUGCGCCCGCCAGUAUUCUGGCGGGCAUGGCUGUUCGAGCGUCAUUUCAACCAUCAAGCCCCCGGCUUGUGUUGGGGACCUGCGGCUGCCCGCAGGCCCUGAAAAACAGUGGCGGGCUCGCUGUCACACCGAGCGUAGUAGCAUACAUUCUCGCUCAGGGCGUGCUGCGGGUUCCGGCCGUUAAACGACCUUCAUAACCCAAGGUUGACCUCGGAUCAGGUAGGAAGACCCGCUGAACUUAAGC
rnacentral:misc_RNA from 1 species